CUGGUUGACAGUGGUAGCUCACACAGUUUCGUCAGUUCAGCCCUAGCGGCGCGUCUGCAAGGGGUGGUGCAAGCUGUUCGGCCGCUGUCAGUUAAAAUUGCAGAUGGUGGUGAGAUGCGCUGCACACAAGAGCUGCUCAAAGGGGAAUGGACUGUUCAUGGGCACAAAUUCUGUUCUCGGUUGAAAGUGUUGUCGCUCGGAUGCUAUGAUAUGAUCGUGGGAAUGGACUGGUUGGAGGCACAUAGUCCCAUGGAUGUGCAUUGGGCACACAAGGAGCUCUCCUUUUCACAUCAUGGCAGGACGAUUCAGCUAAAAGGGGUUCAGCCUAAGCUCUCGGAUUGUUUUCAGAUCACCAGCCAUCAGUUGCAGGCUAUGCUGGAAGAGAAUGCGGUUCACUACAUAGUCCAACUUUGCACAGUUGAUGGGAGUGCUACUCAGGAUGCCUUACCAGCUAGCAUUGAGAAUCUGUUGGCUCGUUUUGCUCAUCUCUUUGAGGAACCCAAGGGACUGCCACCACAUCGAGAGUUCGACCAUGCAAUUCCAUUGAUUCCAGGCGCUCAACCAGUUAAUCUCCGGCCUUAUCGCUACAGCCCCCAGCAAAAAGAUGAGAUUGAAGCACAGGUUGCCGAAAUGUUAAAACAAGGGAUCAUCCAGCCUAGUUAUAGUCCCUAUGCUUCGCCGGUUCUCUUAGUCCAGAAGAAGGACAGAACAUGGAGAUUUUGCGUGGAUUACAGACACCUCAAUGCUAUUACGGUCAAGAACCGCUACCCUCUGCCCAUCAUUGAAGAACUCUUGGACGAACUAGCGGGCUCUUGUUGGUUCACGAGCUUGGACUUGAGAGCUGGAUAUCAUCAGAUCCGAAUGGUGCCGGAGGAUGAGCACAAAACUGCAUUCAAAACUCAUCAUGGCCACUUUCAGUUCAAAGUGAUGCCCUAUGGUGUUACCGGAGGCCCUAGCACUUUCCAAGGGGGUGUGAACACUGUUCUUGCUCCACUGCUGCGCAAAGGGGUGCUCGCGUUCAUUGAUGACAUCCUGGUACAUAGCAGCACCUUGGAGGAGCAUGUUAAGCUGCCGCGACAAGUGUUUGAAUUGUUGGAUAAAUACAAACUUCACAUUAAGCGCAGCAAGUGCAGUUUUGCUCAGAAACAGCUGACUUAUUUGGGACAUGUGAUCAGCGAGCAAGGAGUAGCAACAGACAACAAGAACAUUGCUGCAGUGCAAAGGUGGAAGACUCCUACCUAUGUGAAGGAAGUACGGGGAUUCUUGGGGCUUGCAGGUUAUUACCGGCGUUUCGUCCGGAACUUUGGAGUGAUCAGCCGGCCGCUCACGAACCUGUUGAAGAAGAAUGCGGUGUUUGUGUGGAGCCAAGAGGCCGAUGCAGCCUUCCAUCACCUGAAGCAGUCACUGAUCACGGCGCCGGUGCUAGCCUUGCCCUGCUUUGACACCCCGUUUGAGAUUGAGACGGAUGCUUCUGACAAAGGGAUUGGGGUUGUGCUUAUGCAGGCCGGGCACCCUAUAGCAUUCCUCAGUCGGGCGUUGGGGCCUCGCAACCAAGGUCUCUCUACCUAUGAGAAGGAGUUCAUGGCAGUUCUUCUUGCAGUGGAGCGCUGGAGGCCGUACUUGCAAGGGAAUGAGUUCACCAUACGCACGGAUCAGCGCAGUUUGGCCAACCUGGGUGACCAACGAUUGUCCACACCUUGGCAGAAGAAGGCGCUGACCAAGUUAAUGGAGCUACGUUAUAAGAUUGUGUAUCGCAAAGGCGUGGAGAAUCGCGCGGCGGACGCCUUGUCCCGUGCUGAUCAUGGUGACUUGUUGGCCCUCUCGGUCGCUCAACCAACUUGGCUGGAGGAUGUUGUUCGGGAUAUCACGGUG
rnacentral:rRNA from 1 species